rnacentral:rRNA from 1 species
AUUGAACGCUGGCGGCAGGCUUAACACAUGCAAGUCGAGCGAGCGGCGGACGGGUGGGUAAUGACUGGGAAACUGCCUGAUGGAGGGGGAUAACUACUGGAAACGGUAGCUAAUUACGCCUACCGUCCGCUGUGCCCAGAUGGGAUUGGCGAGUAGGGGGGGUAAGGGCUCACCUAGGCGACGAUCCCUAGCUGGUCGGAGAGGAUGACCAGCCAAACUGGAACUGAGACACGGUCCAGACUCCUACGGGAGGCAGCAGUGGGGAAUAUUGCACAAUGGGCGCAAGCCUGAUGCGGCCAUGCCGCGUGUGUGAAGAAGGCCUUCGGGUUGUAAAGCACUUUCAGCGAGGAGGCGUUACUCGCAGAAGAAGCACCGGCUAACUCCGUGCCAGCAGCCGCGGUAAUUC